rnacentral:rRNA from 1 species
GAUGAACGCUGGCGGCGUGCCUAAUACAUGCAAGUCGAGCGAGCGGACGAGACGCUUGCUUUUCUGAUGUUAGCGGCGGACGUGUGAGUAACACGUGGAUAACCUACCUAUAAGAGUGAGAUAACUUCGAGAAUCCGGAUCUAAUACCGGAUAAUAUUUUGAACCGCAUGGUUCAAAAGUGAAAUACGGUCUUGCUGUCACGUAUAGAUGUAUCCGCGCUGCAUUAGCUAGUUGGUAAGGUAACGGCUUACCAAGGCAACGAUGCAUAGCCGACCUGAGAGGGUGAUCGGCCACACUGGAACUGAGACACGGUCCAGACUCCUACGGGAGGCAGCAGUAGGGAAUCUUCCGCAAUGGGCGGAAGCAUGACGGAGCAACGCCGCGUGAGUGAUGAAGGUCUUCGGAUCGUAAAACUCUGUUAUUAGGGAAGAACAUAUGUGUAAGUAACUGUGCACAUCUUGACGGUACCUAGUCAGAAAGCCACGGCUAACUACGUG